AGCGGCGGACGGGUGAGUAACGCGUGGGAACGUGCCCUUCACUACGGAAUAGUCCCGGGAAACUGGGUUUAAUACCGUAUACGCCCUUCGGGGGAAAGAUUUAUCGGUGAAGGAUCGGCCCGCGUCUGAUUAGAUAGUUGGUGGGGUAACGGCCUACCAAGUCGACGAUCAGUAGCUGGUUUUAGAGGAUGAUCAGCCACACUGGGACUGAGACACGGCCCAGACUCCUACGGGAGGCAGCAGUGGGGAAUCUUAGACAAUGGGCGCAAGCCUGAUCUAGCCAUGCCGCGUGAGUGAUGAAGGCCUUAGGGUCGUAAAGCUCUUUCGCCAGGGAUGAUAAUGACAGUACCUGGUAAAGAAACCCCGGCUAACUCCGUGCCAGCAGCCGCGGUAAUACGGAGGGGGUUAGCGUUGUUCGGAAUUACUGGGCGUAAAGCGCGCGUAGGCGGACUAUUAAGUCAGGGGUGAAAUCCCGGGGCUCAACCCCGGAACUGCCCUUGAUACUGGUAGUCUUGAGUUCGAGAGAGGUGAGUGGAAUUCCGAGUGUAGAGGUGAAAUUCGUAGAUAUUCGGAGGAACACCAGUGGCGAAGGCGGCUCA
rnacentral:rRNA from 1 species